CCUGCAUGGAGCUGCCAUUGGUACAGAUCUUGGUGGUAGUAGCAAAUAAUCGAAUGAGACCUUGGAGGACUGAAGUGGAGAAGGGUUUCGUGUGAACAGUGGUUGAUCACGAGUUAGUCGGUCCUAAGUUCAAGGCGAAAGCCGAAAAUUUUCAAGUAAAACAAAAAUGCCUAACUAUAUAAACAAAGCGAAUAUAAUACACUUGAAUAAUUUUGAACGAAAGGGAAUACGGUUCCAAUUCCGUAACCUGUUGAGUAUCCGUUUGUUAUUAAAUAUGGGCCUCGUGCUCAUCCUGGCAACAGGAACGACCAUAAAGAAGCCGUCGAGAGAUAUCGGAAGAGUUUUCUUUUCUGUUUUAUAGCCGUACUACCAUGGAAGUCUUUCGCAGAGAGAUAUGGUAGAUGGGCUAGAAGAGCAUGACAUAUACUGUUGUGUCGAUAUUUUCUCCUCGGACCUUGAAAAUUUAUGGUGGGGACACGCAAACUUCUCAACAGGCCGUACCAAUAUCCGCAGCUGGUCUCCAAGGUGAAGAGUCUCUAGUCGAUAGAAUAAUGUAGGUAAGGGAAGUCGGCAAAUUAGAUCCGUAACUUCGGGAUAAGGAUUGGCUCUGAAGAUUGAGAUAGUCGGGCUUGAUUGGGAAACAAUAACAUGGUUUAUGUGCUCGUUCUGGGUAAAUAGAGUUUCUAGCAUUUAUGUUAGUUACUUGUUCCCCGGAUAGUUUAGUUACGUAGCCAAUUGUGGAACUUUCUUGCUAAAAUUUUUAAGAAUACUAUUUGGGUUAAACCAAUUAGUUCUUAUCAAUUAUAACGAUUAUCAAUUAACAAUCAAUUCAGAACUGGCACGGACUUGGGGAAUCCGACUGUCUAAUUAAAGCAAAGCAUUGUGAUGGCCCUAGCGGGUGUUGACACAAUGUGAUUUCUGCCCAGUGCUCUGAAUGUCAAAGUGAAGAAAUUCAAGUAAGCGCGGGUCAACGGCGGGAGUAACUAUGACUCUCUUAAGGUAGCCAAAUGCCUCGUCAUCUAACUAGUGACGCGCAUGAGUGGAUUAACGACGGACGUGUUUUCGUUGCGCUCGUGUACAGAUUGCGACGAACUUGGUUUUCCGGGUUUGGAAA
rnacentral:ncRNA from 1 species